UAGUGUGUACUUUGGCUAAUAUACUAAAAUUGGAAGGAUGCAGGUAAGAUUAGCACAGCUCCUGCAUAAGGACGACUUGAAACUUCAUAAAGGCUUCCAUGUUUUA
ensembl:snRNA U6 U6 spliceosomal RNA